UACGAAGGGGGCUAGCGUUGCUCGGAAUCUCUGGGCGUAAAGCGCACGUAGGCGGACUCUUAAGUCGGUGGUGAAAUCCUGGAGCUCAACUCCAGAACUGCCUUCGAUACUGAGAGUCUCAGAGUCCGGGAGAGGUGAGUGGAACUCCGAGUGUAGAGGUGAAAUUCGUAGAUAUUCGGAAGAACACCAGUGGCGAAGGCGGCUCACUGGCCCGGUACUGACGCUGAGGUGCGAAAGCGUGGGGAGCAAACAGG
rnacentral:rRNA from 1 species